CCGUCUUGAAACACGGACCAAGGAGUGUAGCAUGCGCGCGAGUGUUCGGGGUGGGAGCCCCCGGAGCGUAAUGAAGGUGAAGGCGGUCUCUACGAUCGCCGAGGCGCGGGCCCGUCUCUGGCGGGCGCAGCGUCGACCGAUUCCGACCCACGCCGUGGCGGGAUUCGAGUUGGAGCGUGCAUGUUGCGACCCGAAAGAUGGUGAACUAUGCCCGAGUAGGGCGAAGCCAGAGGAAACUCUGGUGGAGGCUCGCAGCGGUUCUGACGUGCAAAUCGAUCGUCAAACUUGGGUAUAGGGGCGAAAGACUAAUCGAACCAUCUAGUAGCUGGUUCCCUCCGAAGUUUCCCUCAGGAUAGCUGGAACCCGUGUGUGCAGUUUUAUCAGGUCAAGCGAAUGAUUAGAGGUCUUGGGGUUGAAACAACCUCAACCUAUUCUCAAACUUUAAAUGGGUAAGACGGUCGGCUUGCUCGACUGAAGUCGGCCAGGCGAAUGCCGGGGCUCCUAGUGGGCCAUUUUUGGUAAGCAGGACUGGCGAUGCGGGAUGAACCGAACGCCGGGUUAAGGUGCCGGAGUCGACGCUCAUCAGAUCCCAGAAAAGGUGUUGGUUGAUCUAGACAGCAGGACGGUGGCCAUGGAAGUCGGAAUCCGCUAAGGAGUGUGUAACAACUCACCUGCCGAAUCAACUAGCCCUGAAAAUGGAUGGCGCUGA
rnacentral:rRNA from 1 species